AAGUCGUAACAAGGUUUCCGUAGGUGAACCUGCGGAAGGAUCAUUAACACUUUUAUUAUUUUGUUUUUUCUAAACAAAAUUUAAAACCCCACAAUUUUGGAUGAAUUUAAUUUAUUUAUUUUUUAUUUUAUUUUUUUUAUUAUAACCCUAUUAUUUGACUAACAUUUUUAUUUAAUUAUUAAAAAAUUAAAAAAACAACUCUUAACAACGGAUAUCUUGGCUCUC
rnacentral:misc_RNA from 1 species